rnacentral:rRNA from 1 species
GGCGAACGCUGGCGGCGUGCUUAACACAUGCAAGUCGAACGGAAAGGCCCUGCUUUUGUGGGGUGCUCGAGUGGCGAACGGGUGAGUAACACGUGAGUAACCUGCCCUUGACUUUGGGAUAACUUCAGGAAACUGGGGCUAAUACCGGAUAGGAGCUCCUGCUGCAUGGUGGGGGUUGGAAAGUUUCGGCGGUUGGGGAUGGACUCGCGGCUUAUCAGCUUGUUGGUGGGGUAGUGGCUUACCAAGGCUUUGACGGGUAGCCGGCCUGAGAGGGUGACCGGCCACAUUGGGACUGAGAUACGGCCCAGACUCCUACGGGAGGCAGCAGUGGGGAAUAUUGCACAAUGGGCGGAAGCCUGAUGCGGCAACGCCGCGUGCGGGAUGACGGCCUUCGGGUUGUAAACCGCUUUCGCCUGUGACGAAGCGUGAGUGACGGUAAUGGGUAAAGAAGCACCGGCUAACUACGUG